rfam:Xanthomarina gelatinilytica strain AK20 contig5, whole genome shotgun sequence.
UAUAUUUGCAGCUUGAAAGAAAAACUUUCAUCACUGUCCAACUGUAAUUGGGCCAUACAUAAAAAUCAUUUAAAAUAAUAUUGGAAUG